rnacentral:rRNA from 1 species
CGGCAACAGCUCAAAUUUGAAAUCCGGCCCCCAGGGCCCGAGUUGUAAUUUGCAGAGGAUGCUUUCGGCGCGGCGCCUUCCGAGUGCCCUGGAACGGGACGCCACAGAGGGUGAGAGCCCCGUCCGGUCGGACGCCAAGCCGGUGUAAAGCUCCUUCGAC